UGCUGCAGUGUCAUACCAGCACUAAUGCACCGGAUCCCAUCAGAACUCCGCAGUUAAGCGUGCUUGGGCGAGAGUAGUUUUGGGAUGGGUGACCCCCUGGGAAGUCCUCGUGUUGCCCCCC